ACGAGAGGAGGAUCUUCCAGUUGCAGAGGUUCUCGCCCCAGAAGUCAAAUCCGGAAGCGAUCGAGGCCGACCUUGAAGCCGACUGCUUGAAUGUCUUCCUGCACCCUCGCCUUGAAGUCUCUGUAAGUGAACUCUCUGUAUCUGGAACUCCGAAUGGGGCGAUCUUCGGGGGGGAAGACGAAGAAGCAGAUGGAGAUCCUCUCCUCGCCAUUGCUGGCCUGGACUCUGUGCUUGGCGCUCUUGUACUCGUCGUCGCUGAUGGCCUGUAAAUUCGGAAUUAGGGUUAUUCUUCCGAUUCCCUUCCCCUCCCACCAAAUCGGACUGAGCUGGUUCGAUGAUUAUACCUGCAUCAUGUCGCCGAGGUUGACGAGGAGCGAGCCCGGGAGGGGAUCGACGGCGAACCAAGCUCCGCCGUGGAGGAUCUGAAGGCCCCCCACAUUGCCGUCGCUCACCAGAGUGAGGAGGGAGCUGUCGGUGUGGGCGGCCAUGCCGAGGCGGCCGCCGGCGAGAGGGGAGAAGGGGUAACGGUGGAGCCGGAGAAGCUCGCCGGCGCCGGAGAAGAAGGAGGAGGCCCUCUGUUCUCCGGCGAGGCCCAGGUCCCCCGCUAGCGUUUCGAACAGCUCCCUCGCUACGGCCGAUGACUGCUUCCCGAAUUCCUCCGCCAAGCCCCUUUUUGAGAGAUCAGAGGAAGAAGAAGAAGAAGAGAGGAGCGUGCCCUAGAAAAUCGAAACGGAAGUUGCAAUUACCUGAAGUAGGAAGAGUCGGCGGCGGCGGCGGCGGUGGACGGAAGGUCGCCGCCGAGGGGCAUGUUGAGGCCCUCAACCCAGUUGACUUCCCGGGGGGAGAGGUUGACCGCGGGGGUUCCAAAGAAGUAGGAAACAGGGCCGCCGGCGAAUGUGGUCUGCUUGAGCUCGAAGGGGAGGCAGAGGAGCCGCUUUGCCUCGUCGUGGAGGCGGCGGGAGAGAGAAGGGGGGAUCCCGUGGUUGACCAGCCGGAAGACCCCCCACUCCCUGCAGAUCUCCCCCAGCGCCGCCGGCCGCAUGUCCCGGAAGUCCACCACCGGCAGGUCAAUCGAAGGAAGGACGGCGCAGCCGCCGCCCACGGCGGCGGCGCUGAGGCCUCCGAGGUUGCGGAACACCGGUGGGUAUGAAGAUGACUCCUCUCCCUCCAUCGCGUUGCCGUUCCAGUGAACUUGUUCUCUCUCCCUUUCUCUCUCCUCUUACUCCCACGGCGGCGGCGGUGGCGGCGAUGGAGGUCACGGGUUUCCCGACCUCCCACUGGUGGCAGCACGAGCGCCGCCUAGACCUCAGCGAGGGGGGAUGUUUCUGCUAAGUUGCUAACGUGAAGAUUAAAGAAAAAUCUUCCAGAAGCCAAGGCUAAAUUUUCAUUUUCUUACUUAUUUUUUAGUAAAUAACCAUUUUCGUAAAUAAUAGGGUCGAUAAAUCCGGCUAAUUAAUGACGUGGCUUAAAUAAUCAUUUUUGGCAGAGUGGAGGCGGCGGAACGGGACAGGCCCGGCAACCUUGACUCAUGCGGUGAACUUACCUCCCCUUGAACAUAUCUCUUCUCUCUCGCUCUCUCUGAGGUCCCCGAGCUGUUACGGUC
rnacentral:lncRNA from 1 species